UUGUCCGGAAUCACUGGGCGUAAAGGGCGCGUAGGCGGUCUGGUAAGCGUGUGGUGAAAGCUCGGGGCUCAACCCCGAGUCGGCCGUGCGAACUGCUGGACUGGAGCAUGUCAGAGGCAGGCGGAAUUCCGGGUGUAGCGGUGGAAUGCGUAGAGAUCCGGAAGAACACCGGUGGCGAAGGCGGCCUGCUGGGACAUGGCUGACGCUGAGGCGCGACAGCGUGGGGAGCAAACAGG
rnacentral:rRNA from 1 species